UACGGAGGGUGCAAGCGUUGCUCGGAAUUAUUGGGCGUAAAGGGUAGGUAGGUGGUCUCAUUUGUCUGGGGUGAAAGCCUUGAGCUUAACUCAAGAAGUGCCCCAGAAACGGUGAGACUAGAGUCCUGGAGAGGGUCGUGGAAUUCCCGGUGUAGCGGUGAAAUGCGCAGAGAUCGGGAGGAACACCCGUAGCGAAGGCGGCACUCUGGGCCGGUACUGACGCUGAGGAGCGAAAGCGUGGGGAGCGAACAGG
rnacentral:rRNA from 1 species